rnacentral:rRNA from 1 species
CAGCAGCCACGGUAAUACGUAGGGUGCAAGCGUUAAUCGGAAUUACUGGGCGUAAAGCGUGCGCAGGCGGUUAUAUAAGACAGAUGUGAAAUCCCCGGGCUCAACCUGGGAACUGCAUUUGUGACUGUAUAGCUAGAGUACGGCAGAGGGGGAUGGAAUUCCGCGUGUAGCAGUGAAAUGCGUAGAUAUGCGGAGGAACACCGAUGGCGAAGGCAAUCCCCUGGGCCUGUACUGACGCUCAUGCACGAAAGCGUGGGGAGCAAACAGGAUUAGAUACCCCAGUAGUCCCUGUCUCUUAUAU